AUACGGAGGGUCCAAGCGUUAUCCGGAAUCAUUGGGUUUAAAGGGUCCGUAGGCGGACAAUUAGGUCAGAGAUGAAAGCCCACAGCUCAACUGUGGAACUGCCUUUGAUACUGGUUGUCUUGAAUUAUAGUGAAGUAGAUAGAAUAUGUAGUGUAGCGGUGAAAUGCAUAGGUAUUACAUAGAAUACCGAUUGCGAAGGCAGUCUACUAACUAUAUAUUGACGCUGAUGGACGAAAGCGUGGGGAGCGAACAGGAUUAGAAACCCUAGUAGUCC
rnacentral:rRNA from 1 species